AGGGUGUAAACGCUGCAGACUUGGUGUUGGAGGCCCUUUGGGGGGCAUUCAGUGCCGGAGAGAAGUUGUUAAGUCUGCUACUUGGGGAGUACGUCCGCAAGGAUGAACUUAAAGGAAUUGGCGGGGGAGCACCGCAACGGGAGGAGCGUGCGGUUUAAUUGGAUUCAACACCGUAAAACUCACCAGGGAAGACUGUUACAUGAAGGCCGAGAUGAAGACUCUGCUAGAUUUUCAGAGAGGUGGUGCAUGGCGUCAGUGACU
rnacentral:rRNA from 1 species